rnacentral:rRNA from 1 species
CCUACGGGAGGCUGCAGUGGGGAAUAUUGGGCAAUGGGCGCAAGCCUGACCCAGCAACGCCGCGUGAAGGAAGAAGGCUUUCGGGUUGUAAACUUCUUUUCUCAGGGACGAAGCAAGUGACGGUACCAGAGAAAAAAAAAACAGCAAAAUACGUGCAAGCAGCCGCGGUAAUACGUAGGUGGCAAGAGUUAUCCGGAUUUCCUGUUGUGAAGGGGCGUGUAAGCGGGAAAGCAAGUCAGAUGUGAAAACCAUGGGCUCAACCUGUGGCCUGCAUUUGAAACUGUUUUUCUUGAGUACUGGAGAGGCAGACGGAAUUCCUAGUGUAGCGGUGAAAUGCGGAGAUAUUAGGAGGAACACCAGGGGCGAAGGCGGUCUGCUGGACAGCAACUGACGCUGAGGCGCGAAAGCGUGGGGAGCAAACAGGAUUAGAUACCCCAGUAGUC